rnacentral:rRNA from 1 species
CUCCUGGAACGGGUGGUAAUGCCGGAUGUUCCAGUUGAUCGCAUGGUCUUCUGGGAAGCUUUCGCGGUAUGGGAUGGGGUCGCGUCCUAUCAGCUUGACGGCGGGGUAACGGCCCACCGUGGCUUCGACGGGUAGCCGGCCUGAGAGGGCGACCGGCCACAUUGGGACUGAGAUACGGCCCAGACUCCUACGGGAGGCAGCAGUGGGGAAUAUUGCACAAUGGGCGCAAGCCUGAUGCAGCGACGCCGCGUGAGGGAUGGAGGCCUUCGGGUUGUAAACCUCUUUUAUCGGGGAGCAAGCGUGAGUGAGUUUACCCGUUGAAUAAGCACCGGCUAACUACGUGCCAGCAGCCGCGGUAAUACGUAGGGUGCAAGCGUUAUCCGGAAUUAUUGGGCGUAAAGGGCUCGUAGGCGGUUCGUCGCGUCCGGCGUGAAAGUCCAUCGCUUAACGGUGGAUCCGCGCCGGGUACGGGCGGGCUUGAGUGCGGUAGGGGAGACUGGAAUUCCCGGUGUAACGGUGGAAUGUGUAGAUAUCGGGAAGAACACC